GCUGAGUAGGUACGGGGAUACUAUUGAGCAAGGAAAAAGCGAGAGAGAGAGAGGGUGAGUUAGUAAAUGCAGUUUGCAGUCGAGUGUCAUGGAAUCACACUGGUAGCAGGGAUAAAGAAAACCUUUAAUUAACCAUUGAAUUAAGGAGAAAAAUAGAAUAGACACUACAGAGAGAAAAGAGAAGAGAGUCUGGUCUUUCAUCCUCUUAUCUGGGCAUCAGACGGAGGAGAGGAGAGGAAUCCAGAGAGAGGGGGAACGGAUGAUAACAUGGUGCUCAUUCCUGUUUAACACCAUACAGCCAGGAACAGACUGCAUCUGCAACAUACGGCCAGCGUCGUCAUUGGGAAUGCUGCGUUACACUCCGAUUGUGUAAAUGUGCCAGUGUGUGUAUCUAUGAGCUGAUAAUAGCAACCCUAUUGGUAUUCUGAGGAGGGGGCUCCAGGAUCUCUCUCUGCUCCUACCCAGGAUGGCAUCACAGAGACGGGAUUGUGCUCGCCUGUGGAGAGGCCACUGGAAUGGGGCUGAAACCUAGUGGAAUGAUCUCUACCUUUCUGAAUCCUUUCCUUGUCAGUCAGGAGUCACAGUUCCCACCAUGGGGAAUAAAGACAAACUGCUAGCAUCCAGCACCCCAAUACUGACCACCUCUCUACCCCUGCAAAGUGACCCCCCCACAAGGAGCCCAACCACCAGUGCUACAAUUGUUCCAGUGAGAGAUGUGUACAAUGCACUCUUCUGAUUACAACCGCAUCCAAUGGGAUUUAAUGAAACCUAGAGGUUUGGGGUGUUGAUGCCAGCGCCACAGCUUGUAGAGGAUCUUGAACUUCGGGGGACGUCUCUCCUUGGAAGGGAAUACUCAACUGUGACUCUCCUCCAGAAAACUACAUGAGAUUGUGGUACAUGUGUGGAUUUAUCGGCUGUACAUCCUGUCUAGAUUAUGGGACAUUACUCUGUUCACUUCAAAGUUCUGUGUCUGUUCCAGACCGGUUCCUCAGCAGAACCAAGUAGUUGACAUUCCCCCCUUGGGAAUCCGCCUUCUGAUUUGUUUGGGGGUUUAUUUUUUAACGGAACAAUUUCCCCUCCACUUUCCCUUUUUCUGGUCUUCCUCCUUUCCCCCCACCUCUUCAUCCAGUGAGGAGGAAUAUAUUAUGAAACAAGUCUAUUCUUCCUGAUCCUCCCUUGGUGACAGAGAGAAAAGAGGGACAAACUGCCCUGAAUAGAUAACGAGGAAGGAGAGAGAGAACGGAGAAGAGAAGGAGAUAGGGAAACACAGAGAGAGAGAGAGAGAGAGAGAGAGAGAGAGAGAGAGAGAGAGAGAGAGAGAGAGAGAGAGAGAGAGAGAGAGAGAAUUAAUUGAGAUUUGUCAGAAACCUUCCAGAGACUUCCUGCCUCAGCCUAAUUUAGUCUGUCUGUCUCUUAGUUCCGCUGGAAGCUGAUUGGUUGGUCGCCUGGUUGGUUGCACGAUGGGCAGAGAAAAGAGGCAGAAUUCUGACCGGGGGGGUAGCUGAGCACUAGAGGAGGGUAAAAGGUCCCACUGUACACCCCUGGACCGGAACUGGAUGGCUCUUAAACAGACAGACAGACAGUAAACAGGGAGGCAUUAUAAACAAGCAUUACAAACAGACAGUCGUCAUUGUCAUUCCAGACUGUGUGUGUGUGUGUGUGUGAGAGAGAGAGAGAGAGAGAGAGAGAGAGAGAGAGAGAGAGAGAGAAAGAGUGAGAUAGGGGUAGAGAAGAGAGAAGCAGUCAGUCCUGUGUUGGGUUUGGUGCUGCCUGUCUGCCUGACGGGGACUGAGAGCGAGCGACGCAGCAAUUAGAGGAUCUGACUGCAUCCCCCUCAGCCUCAGCCUCCACUGGCAAGACUAGACAGAAACAAACAAACAAACAAACAAGUAGGGGGACUGCUACUAGAAGGGAAGGACAGGUUAGAUAGAGGUAGUGACAGCAAGAGUGAGAGAGAGGGAAGGAAAGAGAAAGGUAGACAGUGGAAAGGAGAGGGAUAGAGAACAGGUGUCUGAAAUCCUCUCCCUCUGCUUGUAAUUUUCUCUUCUGUUUCCCCCUCUUCUUCUGGGAGAGGUAUUGGAUUUAGACAGUGGUACUCGGAGCCGUCGAGGCCUUCUGCCGGGGAAGGAAACGAGGGAAAGGAGAGAGAGAAAGGGAAGGAGGGGGGCCCGUUUGGAUUGAAACAGACUCAUUUUUCAACCCUCGUGUUUUAUUUGACGAAGAGGCUCCUUCCACGUCUAUAGCUCUACUGAGGAGAGGGAGAGAGAUAAAGAAAGGGAAGAAGACAGCACAACACCUUUUCUUUUCCUCCUUCUGUCGUUUACUCUCUACUUCUGUUGAGGGUGUCUGAAGAUUUUUUUCUAUCCUCAUUUGUUGCUUUUUCUCCUCACCUCCAAAAGGAAUAUUGUUGCCCAGCUAUCACAGUCCAAGUACCGGAAUCUUCCGUCUUGUCCUCUCUCUCUCAGCCCCCACCCCUACACGGAGACAAUCCGGAACGCUGUGACAGCCCCACAAG